rnacentral:lncRNA from 1 species
ACUUAGGUGAAGAGUUCUCCGUUUUUUCCCUUUGGGAGAGAAGGGAACAAACACUUGAGCUAUUCCAGAUAUACUAACAUAUUAUUAUAUUUAAUCCCACAACAAUCCUAUAAAUAAAAAAAUCUCCAUUUUACAGGUGAAAACACUGAGGCUCAAAGCGAAUAACCUGUCCCAGGUCAGAUGGCCAAAUCCUAGAUUAGUGACAGCAGCAUAGCUUCUUACAUUGUGGUUCGGCAGCUAGAGUGCUUCUUCUUGAGGACCUGCAGAUGAGCUGGUAUAAAGGGAUCCUUCAGAGCCAGGUUCGUGUCACGAAAUUGAGCAUAGGUUAGUUUGAAAAACACUAACCUUUAUUUUAGAUUUAUCGGUAUAGUUAUUCUUUAGUUAGCUAGAGC